rnacentral:rRNA from 1 species
UGUGAACUCGAAGAGUAGGGCGGGACACGUGGUAUCCUGUCUGAAUAUGGGGGGACCAUCCUCCAAGGCUAAAUACUCCUGACUGACCGAUAGUGAACCAGUACCGUGAGGGAAAGGCGAAAAGAACCCCGGCGAGGGGAGUGAAAAAGAACCUGAAACCGUGUACGUACAAGCAGUGGGAGCACCUUCGGGUGUGACUGCGUACCUUUUGUAUAAUGGGUCAGCGACUUAUAUUCUGUAGCAAGGUUAACCGUAUAGGGGAGCCGCAGGGAAACCGAGUCUUAACUGGGCGUUAAGUUGCAGGGUAUAGACCCGAAACCCGGUGAUCUAGCCAUGGGCAGGUUGAAGGUUGGGUAACACUAACUGGAGGACCGAACCGACUAAUGUUGAAAAAUUAGCGGAUGACUUGUGGCUGGGGGUGAAAGGCCAAUCAAACCGGGAGAUAGCUGGUUCUCCCCGAAAGCUAUUUAGGUAGCGCCUCGUGAAUUCAUCUUCGGGGGUAGAGCACUGUUUCGGCUAGGGGGUCAUCCCGACUUACCAACCCGAUGCAAACUACGAAUACCGAAGAAUGUUAUCACGGGAGACACACGGCGGGUGCUAACGUCCGUCGUGAAGAGGGAAACAACCCAGACCGCCAGCUAAGGUCCCAAAGUCAUGGUUAAGUGGGAAACGAUGUGGGAAGGCACAGACAGCCAGGAUGUUGGCUUAGAAGCAGCCAUCAUUUAAAGAAAGCGUAAUAGCUCACUGGUCGAGUCGGCCUGCGCGGAAGAUGUAACGGGGCUAAACCAUGCACCGAAGCUGCGGCAGCGACACUAUGUGUUGUUGGGUAGGGGAGCGUUCUGUAAGCCUGCGAAGGUGGCCUGUGAGGGUUGCUGGAGGUAUCAGAAGUGCGAAUGCUGACAUAAGUAACGAUAAAGCGGGUGAAAAGCCCGCUCGCCGGAAGACCA